AUCAAAUCUUAUUAAAUCAGAAUCAUUUGAUACAUUUUCUGUUAUGUUACAUCACUUAUAUUGUACGUCAAUAUGUAAUCACAACUAAGCUUAAAGGCAUAUACUUAAAUAUGUAAUAGUUAUUGAAUUGGAAUGACAUAAAGUACGUAUGAUUUUCCGUUCUUAUAUAAAUUGGACAAUGCAUUUCAAAUAUCAAACGCAUAUAACUUUGAAGUUUUACAUUUCCGACGUAGCAUAUUGAUGUUUUAGUAUACGCGCCAAAAGUAAGCAUCAAUUAAUAAUUGUGCGGAAAGUAUUUUAAUAAUUAGUUCCAAUUGAAUAUUCAAUGAUAUUGAGCAUGCUCUGUGUGUUCUAGUUCUCGUGCCUACAUCUAUACAAAUAUAUACAUAUAACAAUCCUAUUAACUGAAGCAUGUGCCUGGAGAUGCUAAGUGUAUUGAGAAAUGUCUACUAUUCUGCUAUCGUAAUACUGUUUCUAUUUAUACGAAAUUUGAAUAUAAUCUAUUUUUUUUUUCUAUUCUCGGAGACUUGUUGACUGAAUCCUAACUACCAACGCUAGUUGUUUGUUUUUUUGUUUUGCAUUACUUAAUCUUCAAUUGAAAACAAGAGUUGGAUUUCCUUAAAAAUGAGAGAGCAGACAACCACUGAUAUUUAGUUUUUCCGGGUAUGAUUCCUAAAUGGUUACGACCCUUGAUUACUUGAAUGAUAUAUAUCCUUUAUAUUUGUACAUGAAGCCUGCGAGUGGGAUCUCAUUUUGGAAUAGCUUGUUCAUAAGCACAUUUUAUUCUGCAUGAUGUUUUAAAAUAAAUAAAUGUAAACUACAAAUAUGCCUGUUAUUCCUAAUGAACUAAGGAACUCCCAUAUCGUUGUGCUUGCAAAGGCAUGUUGCAUGGUUUUUACUUUUACGUGUUUUGUAUACUAUCUUUAUUUCUAUAAUAAAUGUAUAAAUAAAUACGAUAUAUGGGCUGGACUAUUACGUUGAAUACACCUAUUAGGAUGUAGCCUAUGUAUUCAAUGGAUAGCCAUCUAUAUAGAUAUUAAUACAAACGUUCCAGAUUAAUUUCUAUAUGCAUUGAAUAAUCGAAAGUAUGUAUUGUAAUAAAAACUGUUUCCAGUUGUCAGUACUUGUAAACGCACUUCGAUAAUGGAUAGAGGUGGCUCAGAACUGGGAAUGAGACAUAGGUCUUCAAUUAGAAGCAUUCACUAAAGGCAAAAUCUCCAAGCUCUAGCUUUUUGACUAGUGAUUAGACUAUAAAGGUUUAUUCCAAUUGCAAUAUAUACAAAAGGUUUCCUUACCGCAUGUAACUCGAUCAUUUUUAUUCGGAAAACUAUUUCAGAAACAUUCAGAACCUUUGGACUGAUAUUUAUUUACAUUGACAAACGAUAUUGUCAGUUGAUAGUUUCGGGGCAGAUAAUCUUUUGAUUUUAAUUUGAAAUAAACGUGAAUUAUAUAGAAUAUGUAUGCUAGGAUAUGCCAUAUUGCUAUUGUUAUUUGAAAUCUAAUACGUUUGCUUGAGUCUGUGCAUGCUAGAACUAGUAUUGACUGUAUGAAUUAGUUAUUGCCUGACAUACUUAAUUUGAAUUUAUUUAACUACGUUGGGGAACUUAUAAAUUACUCAGUGUAAUGAAAAAAUAAUAGAAAUCGAUUGUGCAUGCUGCUAUGUGUCGACUAGUAAAAAUAUGAAUGUAUUAUCGUUAAAUGGAAUGCCUUAAUUAAAACAAUCAUUUACUAUAUACAUAGUUAACUGCGAGGAACUUAUAAUUUUACAUGUAAAAUGAACAUAAAGAAUUGUUAAUUGUAUCUUAAGUGAUAAAAAUACGUGGAACAUUGCAAGGAGUAACUUUUUUUAUGUGCCAUGCUGAAACGCUUGUGACUUGAAUGAAUUGCAUUUAAAUAAGUCUCCGAUUAUUUGAAUUUAAUUUAUGUUACUGCACCAAAUUGUUUGCAUUACAUCUCUUUAAAUAAUAAUAUUUCAUUGAAUAUUCAAGAGAAACAUUGAGUAUUCAAGCAAAUGCCGUAUUGCUUUAUUUAGCAUUUAUUAUUAUUCUUUCUCAUCUGUAACUUUAAGCUUUUUGGUUUUUCGAUUACAUUUAUUUAAAAAACUGUUUUUAAAAGUUUGAUUUAGUUUAGUUAAAUAACGAAUCUAACUGUUAGUUGAGGAUCUAUUUAUAUAUUUAUAAAUAUAUCCGUUACCUUUGCAAUAAUAAAUAAUGAUCGAGGUAUAAGCUUUAAACCAUGAAUAGGUCAUCUAAAGAAGAAUGUUAAAAUACAACAAUUUCUACCAUUAGCUAAAAGUGUAUAGGCGUCUUCAUAUUUGUACAAUUAUUUACAAUUAUCGAAAAUGUCUGAGUUUUGCGAAAACUUGUUUUUAUUAGAGGUCGUAAAUAAAGCUAAUAUUCAGGAUUUUUUUCUUCCAUUAAAAAUGGUGUCAAGCGCAACGAUUCGAAUGAUACUCGCUCAAUAAACUUAGCUCAAUAAAUUUAAGAAAAUAUCUAUAAAAUAUAAAUAAAUAUUUAUAUUUGCCACCCAAUAACUUUUGGAAUCAUCUAAACCUAUAUCAAAAGAAUAGAGCUGCUGAGCUCUACAAUGUUAUUUAGCUUCAAAUGACAUCGCAUGGUCGCAUGCAGUCAACAGCUCAGCUUUAGUUAUCGAUAUGUUGAUCUCCUGCAGUGCAGUUAACUCAGCUCAGCUUUCAUUAUAGAUUUCUAAAUCAGUGAAGUUCAUUCAUGCGUAUGCUUAAUUUCAUUAUUUCGCUUCACUCACUGCAGCUACGCCUGGCCACCGCCUCAUUAAGAUUACUUUUGCGAAAGCCUAUAAGUAAUAGUCUUUAAAAGUAAUCUUUUAAUUUCAUUAAUGCUAAAAAAUAAAAAUUUGAAUCAAUAACAUGAUUGUAAUAAUAAUAUGACGAUCAUUUAUUGAAGAAAGUUAAUUCAGUAUUCUGCAAAUAUAAAAUAUUAUGAUGGCUACAGAAUAGUCUUUGUCAACCAUAUUAUAUUUAGUUUCUAUUCUAUUAUUUUUAGUUUUUUCGUUUGAUAAAAUUACUGAUGGAAUAAUUUCGCAAAUGGCAUUUUAUAAUUUAUAAUACUAAGUGCUAAAUUAAAAUAAAACUGAUAAGUUAUGCGGCAGAAUACACUUAAAUAUAUUUUUACUUUCCAACUAUUAUUGUACUUAAUAUAAUGAACAACUCAAAUUUAUUUGAAUUAUUUCUUUUAGCUUGUUGAAAUUAAAAUUGGUAUUUUCGUGAUCUCAAGUUGAUGAGGCUGCCAUCAUAUGGAAAAUGUUUAAAAUCUUUACAAUUGGCGAAAUUUUGCAAGUAAUCUUCUUGUACUUAAAUCAGAUUAUUGUUAAUGGAAAAUAGACAUCUGACGAGUAAUUGUAUUUUCUGGACGUAAAGGCAUAAAGUAAAGAAAAUAUGGAAGUAAUAAGUAGAGGAUUAGAGAGAAAUAUCAAAACCUUUUUUUAUUAAAAAUUUGUUUGCUUCGAUAAAUUAGAAUAUAUAAUCGGGUAUCUUCCAUUUUGCUUGCCACUAGCUGAUGAGCUCAGCUCUUCACACAGUCUUGGACUCUGAGAGCGUGCUUGAAGCCAACAUACGUUAUAAAAGUGAAAAGCUAUAGGGUUCUUAGUCAUAAAUGAGGGGAAAAGAAAAUUUAGACAUUUAUACUUUUACUACAAUUUCAUAUUGAACUAAAUAUUUCUAAUGUGCAAAUAUUAUUUUUAUUUUUUAAAUUAGGAGAUAUUGUGAACUAACCGACUGUGGUUCAAAGUGUAAAACAUUCAUAAUAAACAUUAUUUUGAAUCCAUUACUAAUAGCUCUGUGUCGUUGUGGUUGACUAUCUUAUUUUUCAUUAUCCUGAUCAGGAAGUAAUAUAUAUGUAUUGUAUUCAUUAUGAGCAGCAGCUUUUCUCCUCUCAUGGCAUCAUCUGUAUGCAAGUAAAUAACAGGAUAUAUCUAUUAGGUAUGAGAAAGAUUAUAAUCAUAGGUUGGACAUGCAACAAUUGUCGAUAAGACUAAUAUAUUUUAUAUCCGCUGUCCAACGUAUACCUGAUUUGCUUCGAUUGCAUUCUCUCUAAUCUUGUUAAACUGUUAAACUGAACAAAAUUCAUAAAGUCUUAGCUGAGCUGAUUUGAAGUGGAUUUCCAUAAGGACGAAAUAAUGUUUGGCUUACAAAUCUCUCAAAUAGAAGAUAUUUGAUUGCAGGUUUAUUGCGUGGAUUAAUUAUUCAUAUUUAUUUAAAUCACUUUUUGAUAUACAAUAUAAUUUCUAACUAUUGCUUUCUGUCUAUUUAUUUUCAAUGACUAUGUAUCACCUUUAUUUUAAAAUUACGUGUAUUUUCUUUAAGAAAUACAUACUUUACUCUAAUAUAAGUGCUCCAUGUGGACACACGAUGUUAAACCCUUGCUAUGCAAGCUCGUGUUUCGAAAACUUCGACCGCGCUCACCUCAUGAGCGUAUUGCUAAACACAGACUCCAGGUGCACUUAGGAUUUGCGAUGAGUUUCCAUGCAUUGCAGACAUUGAAAUGUCUAUGACAUGUCUGAAGAAUCUUUUUAAGUAAAACUAGUACUUACUUAAGACAAUAAUUUAAUUUGUUAAACAACAAAAUAUAAUUAAAAUUAAGAUAUACCUAGAAAUUUUAAGAUAAUUCAAAGAUGUAAACAUGAAUAAAGAAGUUGCAAAGAGCGGAACUACA